GCGGGAGGCCCGGCCCGGCCGCGGCCUGAGCCGUCCCGCUGCCCCGCGGGGUGAUGUGCGGGGUGCUGCAGCGUUGCCUUUGUGGGCUGGGUGGCAAGGGGCGGUUUCUCGUCAGACGGACGUGUUCCAGGCGAGGAGACAGCCCGGGACUCUGCACAGCAGCCGUUUGCAAAACGGAAAGCCAGCACUUGGUUAGAAGCGUGUCUGGGCUUGGUAACUCAAAGCAACAUAAACAUGGUGAGAAAGAUAAGCAGCAUGUCAAAGAAGACCUGCAGGGAAAAGCAGACAGCCCAGGAGACUAGAAACAGGAUAUAGAUAAAUUCCUGAUGAGGAGACUGGUCCAGGUAUAGACAGUUUGACCCCAGCUCCUCACCAUCCAGGCAGGAGUCCUACCCUCCUAAACAUUAAUGAAUGACCCCUGCUCUCCGUUGGCCGAGUCGGGCUCCACGCAGCGCCCUUUCCUGCGGGUCAC